GGCAGCAGUGGGGAAUAUUGGACAAUGGGCGCAAGCCUGAUCCAGCCAUGCCGCGUGUGUGAAGAAGGCCUUAUGGUUGUAAAGCACUUUAAGCGAGGAGGAGGCUACUCUAGUUAAUACCUAGAGAUAGUGGACGUUACUCGCAGAAUAAGCACCGGCUAACUCUGUGCCAGCAGCCGCG
rnacentral:rRNA from 1 species